GUCGGACGGGAUUUGGGAGCUUGCUCCCGAUGAGAGUGGCGCACGGGUGCGUAACACGUAUGUAACCUACCUUAGUCAGGGGGAUAGCCUCUCGAAAGAGAGAUUAAGACCGCAUAACAUUAUGAUAUGGCAUCGUAUUAUGAUCAAAUAUUUAUAGGACUAAGAUGGGCAUGCGCAACAUUAGCUAGUUGGUGUGGUAACGGCAUACCAAGGCUACGAUGUUUAGGGGAUCUGAGAGGAUGACCCCCCACACUGGUACUGAGACACGGACCAGACUCCUACGGGAGGCAGCAGUAAGGAAUAUUGGUCAAUGGACGGAAGUCUGAACCAGCCAUGCCGCGUGCAGGAAGACGGCCCUACGGGUUGUAAACUGCUUUUGCAGGGGAAUAAACCUUCUUAUGUAUAAGAAGCUGAAUGUACUCUGAGAAUAAGGAUCGGCUAACUCCGUGCCAGCAGCCGCGGUAAUACGGAGGAUCCAAGCGUUAUCCGGAUUUAUUGGGUUUAAAGGGUGCGUAGGCGGCUUUUUAAGUCAGGGGUGAAAGACGGUAGCUUAACUAUCGCAGUGCCCUUGAUACUGAAGAGCUUGAAUAUAGUUGAGGUAGGCGGAAUGUGACAAGUAGCGGUGAAAUGCAUAGAUAUGUCACAGAACACCAAUUGCGAAGGCAGCUUACUAAGCUAUGAUUGACGCUGAGGCACGAAAGCGUGGGGAUCAAACAGGAUUAGAUACCCUGGUAGUCCACGCCCUAAACGAUGAACACUCGAUGUUGGCGAUAUACAGUCAGCGUCUAA
rnacentral:rRNA from 1 species